AAUCUUAAGCUGGGUGCUGGAUACCUUUGGGCCCUGGAGCUUAGUUAGGGGUUCCCAACUGCACCCCCCCCUUCUUCCUAUAUUUUCCGUUGAUGUCUUUCAAAGUUCUUUGGCAGCUCAAAAAGCCAUUUGUCAUCAGUAUGGGCCCUAUUUUGGUUGGAUUUGUCUAUUCGCUCUGGCACUGCCAAUGUCAACAAAUGUGCUUUUUGCAAACAAGACCAGAAAAAAAAGGAAAGAAAACAAAACUGGACCUACAUACCAUCUUUAACCACAGAAAUGAUGUCAGCAGCUGAAGUUGUGCAUCCUGACAAAAAAAGUCCCCAUUUAGGAUGAUUAAUGCCUUGAGAUCAGGUCCCAGUCUAUUUCUUGCCUUUGUUUCCUACAUGGUCCUGUGUGUCAGCUUUCAGUCACUGGUCUCAAAAGAAAGGUAGGUCCAAAAAAUGUAGGUUGUAUGGCAAACGUAGGGGAAAAAACCAGCAUGGGACCCACUGGAAAUAUGUUUUUUUUUUAUCUGCCUACAGGGGCAGAACUCAGGACAAAUGUUCCCUUUAGAAACAUCAUGGUAGUGUUCUCCUUCGUGUCUCUCCAGCCCAUAGGAUGGACAUCUAACCUGUAGGGCAUUUGAGGACUGAUUGCUCGCCACUAGACCAGUGCAAGGUUGGGUUAUCAGGGUGAAGACUCCUUGUUCCCUACUGGCAGCCUAUGGAAAGAAUGUAGAACUCACCACAUCCAGGAUGGCAGACAAAGUGAAGGAGAUGUUGACCUGAGUGGGGAUGCUGUAGUUGAUGACUGGACGGAAGUCCUUCUGGUUAAAUAUAGUCUGGAAGACAGCAGGGUCCACCCCAUGUCGGUCAAAGCCUGAGCAAUUGAUGGUGAAAGUGUUUGACCUUCCUGUAGAGAGCAGAGGCCCCGUGAGGUGGGAAUAGGGCUUUCAUGUUUCCUAAGCGAGAGGAGUACCAGGGUUGAGGCCUGAGAACCUCUGCAGAGAAAGAAAAUGUGGACAUGGGUUGAGGCACGUGAGCCCCUCCUUCUGGGCCAAGACUUCUGAAGGCCAACUCCUUCCUGCCAGGCUGGAGAGGAUGGGCUGAUCUGGUAGGCAAAUGGUGGAAGUUGAUGUGGUAAGCUGAACCUGGGCUCAGCCCUUUCUUCCUGUGCUUUGCUCCCAUAUAAAGCCUAUUCAAAUUCAUAUGCAAACAACCUCGGGGGGGGGGGGGGGGAGUCCUAUUUCUUCUGUAGUCCCAACCCUGAAGUUUUGGCUUUUGUCUGACCAUACAUUUUUCUUUGUUAUGAUUCAUUCUUAUAGUCACUGAACAAAAUUUCCCUAAAAUUUUGUUUCUUAAUUUCCUCUUCCCACUUUUACAUUUCCCCAUGUCCUGGAAGGAAAAGUUUAGAAAGAAGUAAAUCAUGAGUACAUCGUAAGUGUGAUGUAAAAUAUGUGGGAACUUAAUGUUGCACUAAUGUGAAUUUAUCAACUACCUACUAUGUGCUGUGCUCUGUGCCUUCUCAAAUUCAGUGACUUCCUCAAAGAUCUGUGGGAGCCAUUUUCGUUAUCACCAUUUUGAGACUAUUUCAUUGAUCAUCUACCAUGUGCUUGGUGGAGAUGUACAAUGAAAUGUAAAAGCCCAUUGGCCCCCUUCACCCACAUCCCAGCCCCAGAUGACUGUGGUUAUUCCUGUAACUGCGGCCCAGCAAGUUCUUUCUCAUACCUCAUCCAUUACCUCCCCAUAUCAGCUGACUCAUAAGGUACAUCGCCAAACUAAGGAGAAACUUAUCCUAGAGGAAGAAAACAUUUCCCUUUCCCCUCCACAUCACCUCCUCUGCAAUAUCUUCCUGAGUGAGAUGGGAAAGGAGCUAUGUUAUUGCCAACAGGACCCAUAUCACCCUGUUCAUAGUUACUAUAUCUUGGUAGAAAGGAAAAGUUAGACACUAUAAAGGGGUGGGAUUGGAGAGGUGGUAAAUGGAAGGACAAACAGUUUAGUAGAUGCCUAGGCAGGCAAAUGAAAGGGGGGUUGUGUGAACUGAUCAGUGAAAUGGGUUUUUCAUCUGUUUCCAAGGAAGUCAAAACAUAGAUGUUACAGAGAAAGGAAAUGUUUAGCCCAGUUAUUUUAGAUGCUCCUAGUUCUGGAGAAUGAGAGGAUUUCUGGAUUUUGCCCAGAACAGCAUUCCCAUCUUGUCCUGUUCUUGCCCCAUCUUACCUGGAAGCAGAAGGUUGACAGUGAGGCAGAGGAGGAAUGCCCCCCCAGAAGGCCACCCCCCUUCCAUCCUCCUCUUCUGGACUCUUCUCUGGGGACUCACCAGGAGCCCCCAAACCCUUGAGCUUAAAGGAGCUCAGACCACACCUUGGUUCCUGGUUUUGAAUAGUGUGCAUGACAGGUGACCACUCCCUGGUGAGAGGCUGUGGCCAGAGAGGUCACAGCAGAGUGUCCUGCUUUGCCCCUGUGUAAGUAUGCCUUCCGGGCCCCAGGCAAGGGGAAGUAAGGCCUAAACCAGGGGAAAAGCACAUGUUUAGCAGGAUGAGUUUGAAAUCUGAGUUCCAAGUACCCUUCAGAAAAAAUUGGGGACUUGGGAGAUCGGGCAGGUAAGGCCAUGGAUAAAGGCCUCAUCAGGUCCUCCUGGAACUAACUUGGGCCUCAGGGAAAGUGCAUGGACUACAUAGAAGGGGUGUGGUAGAGACACCUGCUAAUCUUGGGGGGCAAGAACAUGUAAUUAUUUUGUUGCAUACUUGGAAAUGUAUUCUUUAUCCACUUGUGGACAUUUGGGAUUAUUGUCAAUAUUGAGCUAAAAAUAUGGAGAGAGUAAGUUUCUUUCUCUGGGACAGAAUCCGGGCUGACAGACGUCUGUCCCCAUGGCCAGCACAGCUAGUAUGAUCUGCAUCAUCCCUUGUUUGCACUAUUGGGGCAGCUUCUUCAGAAGGUUUCCUCUACCUGUUUUACCCCCAGUCUAAUCCUCCAUUUUGCCAUUCUCCUAAAACAGACCUCUCCUACUCGUGCUUCCUUACCCUAAUGUCUCUAAAGGCCUACAGCUCUGGGGCCAUGUAGGAAUGUGUGAGUAAAAAAUCAUUUGAUGAACUUUUUGAAAAUAUCUGCACUCCCACCCAUCCACCCCUGCGGAAGUCUGAAAAGGAUGCAAUAAAGGAUACAGAUGAACAGCCAGAGGAAAAGGUCGUGUUUUAGACCACAAGCCUUGCCUCAACUCUAACAUACAAACAGGAUGUUCUUUUGCAAAGGAUAUUGUCAAUCAUAAUGGUCUUGGCACUGAAAACUAAAGUCACAUUUCUGUGAUGUGGAAGAACAUUGCAAAAUGACAUCUAAAGAAAUACAAUGUGGAUAUGGGAAAGGAAAAAGAAAUGAUGCAAAAGUCAUCUUAAGAAAUUGGAAAUUCCUCAAAGAUGUGGCAGACACUCUCCAUUUUACAUUAUUGACAAAAGUCAAGGACAGUUUCUGAGUGAGAAAUAUGUUCAAAGUAAUGGAAAGAAGGAAGCACAAGAGAAUCUGCCACCAGAAAUGUCUCUGCCGGUGCCUCUAAUUAAUGUCUCUAAGAACCCAAAGAUAGCUGAUGCCUAACAAUGGGUAGCUUAUUUCCCACGUUAGAUAUGGAAAAAUAAAAUACACCAGGAUGGGAUAAAGAGAUUACACCUAGAGGUAGUAAAAUACUAAUUCUUGGUUGGCUGGCAUUCACUCAUUCGUUUAAUCAUUCAGCAAGUCUAUGUUAAGCACCUGUGAUAUGUCAGGCAUAAUGCCUGAUACUGAGUUAAAAAAAUGAAUGAGACACUGUACCUGACUUUCACGAAGACACAUUCUCUUAGGGGAGGCAGAAAUGUAAAUAAAUCUCUGAAAUGUCUUCACCUAAUUGGAAUACAAUUCAGAAAUAUGUCUUUGGUAUUCUUUUGCCUCCAUCUUCAAUUUCUGUCUCUCCUCAGGGCCAGCUGUUAGAAUCUUCCCCAGGAUCAUAUCUGCCUAUGAAGGUGUGAAGUAUUAUUAGUAAGGGGCACUUAAGAAAAUAGGGGCUUGGAGUGCCUGGUGUCUCAGUCGGCUAAGUGUCUGACUUCAAGUCAGGUCAUGAUCUCACAGUUAGUGGGUUUAAGCCCCGUGUCCGGCUCUGCACCGACAGCUCAGAGUCUGGAGCCUGCUUCGGAUUCUGUGUCCCUCUCUUUCUCCCCGCCCCCCCCCCCCCCCCCCCCCCCCGCUCAUGCUCUGUCUCUGUCUCUCUUAAAAAUAAGUAAACAGGGGCGCCUGGGUGGCUCAGUCGGUUAAGCGUCCGACUUCAGCUCAGGUCACGAUCCCACGUUCCAUGGGUUCGAGCCCUGCGUCGGGCUCUGGGCUGAUGGCUCAGAGCCUGGAGCCUGCUUCCGAUUCUGUGUCUCCCUCUCUCUCUGCCCCUCCCCCAUUCAUGCUCUGUC